rnacentral:rRNA from 1 species
CCUACGGGGGGCAGCAGUGGGGAAUAUUGGACAAUGGGCGAAAGCCUGAUCCAGCCAUGCCGCGUGUGUGAAGAAGGCCUUCGGGUUGUAAAGCACUUUCAGUGGGGAAGAAAGCCUUGGGGCUAAUACCCUCGAGGAAGGACAUCACCCACAGAAGAAGCACCGGCUAACUCCGUGCCAGCAGCCGCGGUAAUACGGAGGGUGCGAGCGUUAAUCGGAAUUACUGGGCGUAAAGCGCGCGUAGGCGGUCUGAUAAGCCGGUUGUGAAAGCCCCGGGCUCAACCUGGGAACGGCAUCCGGAACUGUCAGGCUAGAAUGCAGGAGAGGAAGGUAGAAUUCCCGGUGUAGCGGUGAAAUGCGUAGAGAUCGGGAGGAAUACCAGUGGCGAAGGCGGCCUUCUGGACUGACACUGACGCUGAGGUGCGAAAGCGUGGGUAGCAAACAGGAUUAGAUACCCUGGUAGUC